rnacentral:rRNA from 1 species
AGGCGCAAAGAUGACCUGGCUCGAAGAGUCGUACGGGGGGGGGAAAGAGAGUGUCCGCGGCUGAGUCCUCGUGGGUGAUCUGCCCAGAAAUUUGGGAUAAGCCCGGGAAACUGGGUCUAAUACCGAAUAUGACCACUUCUUGGAUGUUGUGGUGGAAAGCUUUUGCGGUGUGGGAUGAGCCUGCGGCCUAUCAGCUUGUUGGUGGGGUAAUGGCCUACCAAGGCGGCGACGGGUAUCCGGCCUGAGAGGGUGUACGGACACAUUGGGACUGAGAUACGGCCCAGACUCCUACGGGAGGCAGCAGUGGGGAAUAUUGCACAAUGGGCGCAAGCCUGAUGCAGCGACGCCGCGUGGGGGAUGAAGGCCUUCGGGUUGUAAACUCCUUUCGCUAUCGACGAAGCCACUUGUGGUGACGGUAGGUAGAUAAGAAGCACCGGCUAACUACGUGCCAGCAGCCGCGGUAAUACGUAGGGUGCAAGCGUUGUCCGGAAUUACUGGGCGUAAAGAGCUCGUAGGUGGUUUGUCGCGUCGUCUGUGAAAUCCCGGGGCUUAACUUCGGGCGUGCAGGCGAUACGGGCAUAACUUGAGUGCUGUAGGGGAGACUGGAAUUCCUGGUGUAGCGGUGAAAUGCGCAGAUAUCAGGAGGAACACCGAUGGCGAAGGCAGGUCUCUGGGCAGUAACUGACGCUGAGGAGCGAAAGCAUGGGUAGCGAACAGGAUUAGAUACCCUGGUAGUCCAUGCCGUAAACGGUGGGCGCUAGGUGUAGGGGGCUUCCACGUCUUCUGUGCCGUAGCUAACGCAUUAAGCGCCCCGCCUGGGGAGUACGGCCGCAAGGCUAAAACUCAAAGGAAUUGACGGGGGCCCGCACAAGCGGCGGAGCAUGUGGAUUAAUUCGAUGCAACGCGAAGAACCUUACCUGGGCUUGACAUGUACCGGAUCGGGCUAGAGAUAGUCUUUCCCUUGUGGGUCGGUAUACAGGUGGUGCAUGGGUUGUCGUCAGCUCGUGUCGUGAGAUGUUGGGUUAAGUCCCGCAAACGAGCGCAACCCUUGUCUUAAUGGUUGCCAGCACGUUAUGGGUGGGGAACCUCAAUGCAAAGACCUGCGGGGCCUAACUCGGAGGAGGGUGGGGGAAUGGACGACCAAAAUCAUUCCAG